rnacentral:lncRNA from 1 species
UUAUUCAUGAAAUCAAAAGAAGUACUUGAAAGAAAAGGGACAAGUUUCAAACACUUGUAAGAGCAAUGUCCUAACUGAGCAUGCCAGAGAUAAACCGAAACAUUGACUUUAUUUGCCCAUGCAAGACUUAAUUGUCAAGCCUUUGAAGUAGUAAACACCAUCUUGGAGUUCACCCAAUCCAAUUAGCUUCCAUGUGGCA